AUUGAACGCUGGCGGCAGGCUUAACACAUGCAAGUCGAGCGAGCGGCGGACGGGUGAGUAAUGUCUGGGAAACUGCCUGAUGGAGGGGGAUAACUAAUGGAAACGGUAGCUAAUACCACAUACCAUCAGAUGUGCCCAGAUGGGAUUAGCUAGUAGGUGGGGUAAUGGCUCACCUAGGGGACGAUCCCGAACUGGUCUGAGAGGAUGACCAGCCACACGGGAACUGAGACACGGCCCAGACUCCUACGGGAGGCAGCAGUGGGGAAUAUUGCACAAGGGGCGCAAGCCUGAUGCAGCCAGGCCGCGUGUGUGAAGAAGGCCUUCGGGUUGUAAAGUACUUUCAGCGAGGAGGCGGUACUCGCAGAAGAAGCACCGGCUAACUCCGUGCCAGCAGCCGCGGUAAUUC
rnacentral:rRNA from 1 species